GACGAACGCUGGCGGCGGGCCUAAUACAUGCAAGUCGAACGCAGUUGCGGACGGGUGAGUAACGCGUGGGUAACUGCCUCAUAGCGGGGGAUAACUAUUGGAAACGAUAGCUAAUACCCCAAACUGUGAGAUGGAGCUGCGUUGUAUUAGCCGGUUGGUGAGGUAAAGGCCCACCAAGGCGACGAUACCUAGCCGACCUGAGAGGGGGAUCGGGCACCAUGGGAAUGGGGACAGGGUCAGACUUCCACGGGAGGGAGCAGGAGGGAAAUUUUGGAAAUGGACGGAAGGCUGAACGAGCAAAUCCGCGGGAGUGAAGAAGGUUUUCGGAUCGUAAAGCUCUGUUGUUCGAGAAGCGGUAACUACCCAGAAAGGGACGGCUAACUACGUGCCAGCAGCCGCGGUAAUUC
rnacentral:rRNA from 1 species